GACGAACGCUGGCGGCGUGCUUAACACAUGCAAGUCGAACGAGAAUCUGUGGAUUGAGGAUUCGUCCAAAUGAAGCAGAGGAAAGUGGCGGACGGGUGAGUAACGCGUGAGGAACCUGCCUUUCAGAGGGGGACAACAGUUGGAAACGACUGCUAAUACCGCAUAACACAUAAGGGCCGCAUGGUCUUUAUGUCAAAGAUUUAUCGCUGAAAGAUGGCCUCGCGUCUGAUUAGCUGGUUGGUAAGGUAACGGCUUACCAAGGCAACGAUCAGUAGCCGACCUGAGAGGGUGACCGGCCACAUUGGGACUGAGACACGGCCCAA
rnacentral:rRNA from 1 species